rnacentral:lncRNA from 1 species
ACGAAAAUUGCUUAGUGUUCUUCCUUUGUGUGGAGGUGCUACCGGUGAAGGUGUAAGGCUUGUUGGCCGAUUGUGGUGCCGGCGAGAGCAACGUCCCCUUUGUGAUUCUUCGUGGCUUAGUGUGUGCGUGAUCGAGAGGAAGAGAGCUGUACCUGAGCCGAGAAGAUCGACGCCCCUUGUUCCUCUCUUUGUGUGUUUUUCCUUGCAGGUUGUCGAGGCUGCUGCUACCUCGUUGCUGCGCCGCUGUGCAGCUGCUGUUUUGCGGCUUUGUAGCUGCGCUGUGGCUGCCCAAAGUCGAAGGAAGCCUUCAACAACGACGACGAGGGUCGAUACUCAACAGUGGUAUCAGAGCCACGGUUGACCUCGUCGUCGCAUUGGUAAGUCGGGGUCCUGACCUUAGGAUCCCGCUCUGGUAAAGCGGCUUAAACCUCUCUUGUUUUUCAAUUUCUAGUUGCUGCCAUCUGGUGCAGUUUAGGCUUGGUGCUUAUCUGCUGGUAGAUAUAUAGGAUUCGUGUGUCGAAUUCUGUUUUCUGUUUUAAUUUUUUUUCGCUGUUACUAUUCACGUGAAUAGUGAUUUCGUGAAUAGUGUUUUUGGUCUCUUAUUUUUACUUCCGCUGUAAACUCUGUGGUUGUCAAUCUUUGUGAGUCUUUGUGAUUAUUUGCUUCGUGUUGCGAUGUCUUCUUUGGCAAAUUAUGGUUUAGCUCCUUUUAAUGAUAAGUCUAAUCAUAGAUAUAAGCCUAGGAAGUGCUAUAAUUGUGGUGAAACUGGUCACUAUAUUAAGGAUUGUCCUCACCCUAAGAAAAAACAAGAUGUAGAGCAUGCUAAUGUAAUUGGUAAUGAAACCAAUAGUGAUGUGUUCUAAGGUGGAGCUAUUUCUUAAUGCCUUAGUGUUGUUCUUUGUGAUUGUUUAGGCUUUGUGGCUUUGUGAGACUUCGUUGGUUAGUGCCUUAAUGACUAUGUGAGUCUUUGUGGCUUAGUGUCUUUGUGAUUGAUUAGUAGCUUUGUGUCUAUGUGGCUUUGUGAGUUUUACUUUGUGAUGACCGUUUGUGUCGCAUGUUAUCUUCGUGAUCAUGUGUACUUUGUGAUCUGUGCUAGCUCUUUGUGGCCCUUUGUGCUAGACUAACUUUGUGUUAGUGUGCUUCGUGCUUGGUGGUUGUCUUUCUCUUGUUUGUGUUUUGCAGGAAUUGACUUGGUUAGUUUACCCGUUGACCUUUGUGGUCUUGUGUUUCCCUGUUAUUUCUUUGUGAUUUAAUAGGGGGCUCGGCGAUGAUGAUUAUGGUACAGCUUCCUCUUUGAUGCACACAAUACCGUGAUUGGGCCAAAGGUGGAGAUGUUGUUAGUUGGCCCAAAUUUGGCCCAACAAGCCCAUGCCCUAUCCUCCUUAUUUUGGCAGCCCUCUCAUUUCCCCCUUCCAGUCGAAAAUUAGUGCCCUUUUGGGGCUGUGACCCCUGCGCUUCUUCUCCCCCAUGAACCUCUUCACCUUCCUUCUCUAGAUCCUUCUAUGGUAGGCUAUUUAAAGAGCCCUUGGUCUGUGGCUGUAGAGUGGACGAAAAUUGCUUAGUGUUCUUCCUUUGUGUGGAGGUGCUACCGGUGAAGGUGUAAGGCUUGUUGGCCGAUUGUGGUGCCGGCGAGAGCAACGUCCCCUUUGUGAUUCUUCGUGGCUUAGUGUGUGCGUGAUCGAGAGGAAGAGAGUUGUACCUGAGCCGAGAAGAUCGACGCCCCUUGUUCCUCUCUUUGUGUGUUUUUCCUUGCAGGUUGUCGAGGCUGCUGCUACCUCGUUGCUGCGCCGCUGUGCAGCUGCUGUUUUGCGGCUUUGUAGCUGCGCUGUGGCUGCCCAAAGUCGAAGGAAGCCUUCAACAACGACGACGAGGGUCGAUACUCAACA